rnacentral:rRNA from 1 species
GUUUAACGGCCGCGGUAUCCUGACCGUGCGAAGGUAGCGUAAUCACUUGUCUUUUAAAUUAAGACCGGUAUGAAAGGCACCACGAGAAUUAAACUGUCUCCUUUUUCUAAUCUGUGAAACUAAUCUUCCCGUGAAGAAGCGGGAAUUUUUAUAUAAGACGAGAAGACCCUAUGGAGCUUCAGACAAAUAACACUGCUUUCUCCUCAAAAGUACUUACUACAGCAUCUCAAUUAUUUAGUCUUAGGUUGGGGCGACCACGGGGUAAAAAUUAUCCCCCACGAUGAAAGAAUCUCCUUAAGUAUGAACCACAGUUCUAUAAAUCGAUAAAUUGACAUAUUUGACCCAAUUACUUGAUCAACGAAACAAGUUACCCUAGGGAUAACAGCGCAAUCCACUUCAAGAGCCCUUAUCAACAAGUGGGUUUACGACCUCGAUGUUGGAUCAGGGUAUCCCAGUGGUGCAACCGCUACUAAAGGUUUGUUUGUUCAACAAUUAAAACCC